rnacentral:lncRNA from 1 species
UUGAAUCAUUAGCGACCAUAACUAGAAUAAAGUUGCAAGUUUUUGCAUUAAGGAAUGAAUUUACCAAUCCAUAAUGAAUACAGAAACGAUCAGACAACGACUCAGCAGCACCAAAAGCCCAACAAGAACCACAAUGUCCCUGAAAUACAAACAAUCAGAUUGUUAGAAUACCAGGAAAGAGCAAUAAGCAAAUUCAGGAGGAAAAACAAAUGAGUGAAAGUAGAACCAAGACAAAUCACCUGAUCUGGCGUCGCAAAACAGUACCGGUGCAUGACAUCAAAAGAUGGAAAGCAUUAGCACCACUCUAGAGAACUACAGCACUAAAUCAAGGACAAAAGAGAAGAAACUAACCAAGAAUUCUCCCAAUAGUGCUACACUGAGGCCAAGCCACUCGUGCAUCAAACUCUUGGGGUAACUUCAAAAGUUUUGGAUGAGUUAAAAUAGGGAUGCCCUUCAAAUCACCCUUUCUUGUGGGCUUAACUCCAAGAAGGCGCUUAAAUUGGGAAACCUGUGAAUGAAGGGUACAUGCACUCAUAAAAGGAGAGUUGAAGGAUGUGGC